rnacentral:lncRNA from 1 species
GGCCUAGUUAUAUAUACAUGACAUCAUCCUUCAAGUUAAAGAUGUUAGAGUGUCUUUAAUCUUAAAUAAUGUUUUAUGUGAGAAUUGAUUCAAUUCCAUUCUACUUUCAACUCCAAAAUAUACUUACUCCAUAUUUGUUAAUUAUUCCAUUCUCAGUCCAAAAAUGGAGUAAGGUUGGAAUAAACUCAACUCUAUUAUAGAGUUGCUAUAUUUUGGAGGAAAAAAAUAUAGUUUCAUAUUAGAGAUGCUCUUUUGUAAAUAACAUCAUUAGCUUAAUUUUCCUAAUGAGAGACAGGAGCGUGGACAGUAGUGAUGUGGACGUUGGAGAUGUUAACUCUG